UGAGGAAUAUUGGUCAAUGGGCGGAAGCCUGAACCAGCCAAGUCGCGUGAAGGAUGAAGGUAUUAUGUAUUGUAAACUUCUUUAGCAGUGGAGAAAUAAUGGGCUCGUGAGCCCAGAUGCUAGUACACUGAGAAUAAGGAUCGGCUAACUCCGUGCCAGCAGCCGCGGUAAUACGGAGGAUGCGAGCGUUAUCCGGAUUUAUUGGGUUUAAAGGGUGCGCAGGCGGGCGUCUAAGUCAGCGGUGAAAGUUCCCGGCUCAACCGGGUCAGUGCCGAUGAUACUGGGGGUCUUGAAUGCGGUCGAGGCCGGCGGAAUGUGGCGUGUAGCGGUGAAAUGCAUAGAUAUGCCACAGAACACCGAUAGCGAAGGCAGCUGGCCGGGCCUGCAUUGACGCUGAGGCACGAAAGCGUGGGGAUCGAACAGGGAUUAGAUACCCUGGUA
rnacentral:rRNA from 1 species